GACGAACGCUGGCGGCGUGCUUAACACAUGCAAGUCGAACGGAAAGGCCAUGCUUUUGUGGGGUGCUCGAGUGGCGAACGGGUGAGUAACACGUGAGUAAACUGCCCCUGACUUUGGGAUAACUUCAGGAAACUGGGGCUAAUACCGGAUAGGAGCUCCUGCUGCAUGGUGGGGGUUGGAAAGUUUCGGCGGUUGGGGCUGGACUCGCGGCUUAUCCGCUUGUUGGUGGGGUAGUGGCUUACCAAGGGUUUGACGGGUAGCCGGCCUGGGAGGGUGACCGGCGACAUUGGGACUGAGAGACGGCCCAGACUCCUACGGGAGGCAGCAGUGGGGAAUAUUGCACAAUGGGCGGAAGCCUGAUGCAGCAACGCCGCGUGCGGGAUGACGGCCUUCGGGUUGUAAACCGCUUUCGCCUGUGACGAGGCGUGAGUGACGGUAAUGGGUAAAGAAGCACCGGCUAACUACGUG
rnacentral:rRNA from 1 species